AAUCGCUUGAACUCAGGAGGCGGAGGUUGCAGUGAGCCAAGAUCACGUCACUGCACUCCAGCCUGGGCAACAGAGUGAGGCUCCAUCUCAAAAAAAACAAAAGAAAAGAAAAUAUGCCCUCUACCUUCUGAGCCUGAGGAGAAAAAAAAGAAAAUAUGCUCUGUUGUUCUGCCCCUCAGAUUUAUUUUCGUGUUUUUGUAGGAUCAGACAAAGGUGAAAAUGAAGCAAUGGAAUCCUGUAAGUAAGAAGUUUUGUGAUACUUAAGUAGCCUGGCCUGCAUCCCAAAAAUUUAGAUUCUAAAUCUUCUGUGUUCAUUUUUCUGCCUGAGGAAUACUGCUGUGCCAAGUGGCUCCUCAAGGCGAUAGAUUGGGUUGCUCCCUUGCUGUUGGCAUGGCCUCUUCACCAGUGUCUACACUCUUUUUCCCCAGCUGGGAAGCGGGCCCCUCAGUGCUACCCCAGUUCCGUCAACUCUGCCAGGACUGUGAUGCUGUUCAACCUUGGCAGUGCUUACUGCCUGAGGAGCGAAUAUGACAAAGCCCGAAAGUGUCUCCACCAGUGGCUCAUGCCUCCCAGCACUUUGGGAGUCCGAGGCAGGCGGAUCAUAAGGUCAGGAGUUUGAGACCACCUGGCCAAUAUGAUGAAACCCCAUCUCUACUAAAAAUACAAAAAUUAGCCAGGUUGGUGGCACGCGCCUGUAGUCCCAGCUACUCAGGAGGCUGAAGCAGGAGAAUCGCUUGAAUCCGGGAGGUGGAGGUUGCAAUGAGCCAAGAUUGUGCCACUGUACUCCAGCCUGGGCAACAGAGC
rnacentral:sRNA from 1 species